UUUAAUGAGAGUUUGAUCCUGGCUCAGGACGAACGCUGGCGGCGUGCCUAAUACAUGCAAGUAGAACGCUGAUGUUUGGUGUUUACACUAGACUGAUGAGUUGCGAACGGGUGAGUAACGCGUAGGUAACCUGCCUCAUAGCGGGGGAUAACUAUUGGAAACGAUAGCUAAUACCGCAUAAGAGUGAUUAACACAUGUUAGUUAUUUAAAAGGAGCAAUUGCUUCACUGUGAGAUG
rnacentral:rRNA from 1 species